rnacentral:rRNA from 1 species
CCUACGGGAGGCAGCAGUGAGGAAUAUUGGUCAAUGGGCGCGAGCCUGAACCAGCCAAGUAGCGUGAAGGAUGACUGCCCUACGGGUUGUAAACUUCUUUUAUAAAGGAAUAAAGUGAGGCACGUGUGCCUUUUUGUAUGUACUUUAUGAAUAAGGAUCGGCUAACUCCGUGCCAGCAGCCGCGGUAAUACGGAGGAUGCGAGCGUUAUCCGGAUUCAUUGGGUUUAAAGGGUGCGUAGGUGGGUAAUUAAGUCAGCGGUGAAAGUUUGUGGCUCAACCCUAAAAUUGCAGUUGAAACUGGUUGACUUGAGUAUAGGUGAGGUAGGCGGAAUGCGUGGUGUAGCGGUGAAAUGCAUAGAUAUCACGAAGAACUCCGAUUGCGAAGGCAGCUUACGAAUCCGCGAUUGACGCUGAUGCACGAAAGCGUGGGUAUCAAACAGGAUUAGAUACCCCAGUAGUC